UUUUUUUUUUUUUUUUUGGGAAACUAGUUGAACUGUAAUCCAUUACAUUUAUACCAAGAAAUCUUGGGAAAAUGUGGAAUCUUGCAAAGACCUAUUAUGGUUUCUUGAGUUACAGUGGGAUUUCUUGAUUUUUCUUGCAAGUUUGCGUAUGGUGAUGAUAGAAGGGCUUCUAGGUAAGUUUAUUUUGGUUUGAAAGUACAAUUUGAGAGGUGAAUUUCCAUUUUUUAUUCUGCAUGUAUGUGUAUGUACUUUCUUGGUUGUGAAGAUGGUGGCUGCUGUUUCUGAAAACCCCCAAAAUCAUAGCUUGAAGAAGACCUCCAUUAUUGUCUUCCAAAAAAGAUGAUUGUAAUGGGGUUUUAAACAAUCCCAGGAGGCCCAAAUCUAGAAUUGUUUCUUCGAGAUACAUGUCCCCUUCAAGUUCUACAUACACUUAGUAUUCCUCUUCAGUUUCCUCAUCUUCAUCUUUUUCUAGAACGUAUCCCUCUCCUACGGUUUCAAGAAACUUGACCCCGGCAUGAAAGAUUUUGGAUUUUUUAUUUGAGUAGUGUGAGGAAGGGUAUUCCAGAGAAGAAGAAGACAGCGGUGGCGCUCCAUUGAGAGGAAAGGGUUCCCGACUACGACGG
rnacentral:lncRNA from 1 species